CGGAAAUAUCACGUUGAAACACCAGAUCUCGUAGGAUCGCUGAAGUUAAGAAACGCCGAUCCUGGUUAGUAUCUAGAUGAGUGACCGCUUGGGAAUACCAGGUGUUGUAAG